GGGGAGGAUUUCUUUUGGAGAUUGUUCCUUUUGGAGUCUUCUCAGUAAGCCCAGGAUGAAGUGUGCUACAGGAUUUAUGAAGAAAGUUCAAGUGAAGGAUUGGAAAUACCAUCCUUAUUGCAGUACUGCCCAGAUUCAGUGCUGAGCUGUUGUCCCAGGUCUCUCAACCUGGAGGAAAAUUUCCUACUGUGAUCAUCUGGCCACACUCUUUUCAAUGUGUCAUUGGCCUUCUUGGCCACAAGGGCACACUGUUGACUCAUGGCCAAACUGUUGCCCACAAGGACACCCCGAUCCAUCUCUGCACAGUUCCUUCCAGCAGGUCAGCCUCUAACGUACUGUGUGCGCGAAAAUCCUGAGUGAGGUAAUGAAGUACAGUGAGAGUAGCAAAAGUAAUAAUAAAGAGGAAAUCUGGGUUAUUUGAAUAGAAUCCCAGCUUCUGAGAUGCCCUGAAUGAUUGAGUUCUAUUCCCAAUAUCGCAUGUACAUGAUAAAGCCACUUGAAUUUUGUGGGUUAUAUUCUGAAUUUCCAUGCUUACACAGGAUCAGAAAGAUAAAAGAUUAACUUGUUACAGUAUAAUUUAUGCAACUGAUGAAAAUGAUGCUGUAAUUUUUUUAUCUACUCUCACCCUUAAUGCUAUAUUAAAUGCCUAUUCUUGUUUUCCUGUCUUACUUAUUCCAGAGAUCCAUCUAAUCAUCUAGUAGAAAGUUGUAUAUAUUUCCUUCAGCUGCUAAUGUUUCAGUAGAACUUAAAAUAUUGGGUUUCCAGUACUGCAUGCUUUUGCAUUUUUGUCAUUUUGAUGAGGAUGACUGGAUACUACUUCCUUUCUUUUAACAUUCUAUGAAAAUUUUCAUAUGUUUCAGAGGGCAUAAACUUAAUGUGUUAGUAUAAAUACAAAAGCCCCUCAGCUAGCACACUGUUACCAACACUUCAGCUUUCUUGCAACAGAAGCAUCAAUUUAUUGAAUAGGAAGAGUACAGAGUACUGUAAUAUCAAAUAUAUAUACUAUAUGUUAUUUAAAAAAAAUAAGGAAAACAAUGCAUAUGGAUUUUUAGAAGGAAUAUCAUUCUUUUCUUCCAGAGCACAGAACCAGUAUCUAUUGACAGUUGGAAUAAAAGUUUCCCUAGGGACAAGUUAUCUCAUAAUGGCCAAUUGCUUUGGCUUUACCUGAUAUUACUGAAUAUUUGGUGAACAACCCACGGCACCUAAUAUCCGUAGACUUUUGCCUAAGGCAGAUAUAGGACUCUUUAGCAUUAUUGCUCUGUCACAAAAGACAGCUGAUGAUCAGGCUGUAUUGCAAUUAUGGAAAUGACUAGUGCAAUAAGUAUAAAAUAAGCCAAUAUCUUCUUUUCUUAAACGAGGGAUUACGUGAACUAUUUUAGGGAAAAUAAAUAAUUAAGGUCUAGUUCAGCUGCUGAAGUUAAAACACUGCCUAGAGGAGUCAGUAAACUGAUUUUUCUUUUAUUCUUUUUUUCUCUGAAGUAGGCAGGGGAGAAUACAGGUACAGGGUCUAUCUUUGUUAUGGUGAGCAUUUAGUUUUGUUUUGUAAUAUGUGCUUUCCUCCUAACCUUAUCUUUAUUUCUCAGGCAAUAACAAGCUUCCUGUCCUACCAAAUUUAUUUAUUGAAUUAAACAUAUAUUUCUUCCUAUUUUUUGGUAAGGUAACAUUGAGCUUCCAGAUUUUGUUGUGUUGAGUUAAUCCUCUACAGAUUGGAGUUUUUUGAUCAUUACUAGCAGUAUGAACUUUCUUGCCUAGUGGGGAAUUGAAUGCUCUUUUGCCAUUGAGUAGAUUUUCAUCAAAAAAUUUACCUCAAAAUAUUAUUUUUCUCAAUGAUUUUAGCACAGAUGUUCUUAAAGCUAAUAAAUCUCAUAGUUCAGUGCUAUUUUUGAGUAGAUAACCAAGUGAUACAGAAGAGCACCCAGAAAUAAUGUUUGAGUUGGGUUGAAAGAACU